UACGGGGGGGGCAAGCGUUGUUCGGAAUUACUGGGCGUAAAGGGCGCGUAGGCGGCCUGCUAAGUCGGACGUGAAAUCCCUCGGCUCAACCGGGGAACUGCGUCCGAUACUGGUGGGCUCGAAUCCGGGAGAGGGAUGUGGAAUUCCAGGUGUAGCGGUGAAAUGCGUAGAUAUCUGGAGGAACACCGGUGGCGAAGGCGGCAUCCUGGACCGGUAUUGACGCUGAUGCGCGAAAAGCCAGGGGGAGCAAACGGG
rnacentral:rRNA from 1 species